rnacentral:siRNA from 1 species
AUUUUCAGUUUCCAAUUACAUGUU